rnacentral:rRNA from 1 species
GAUGAACGCUGGCGGCGUGCUUAACACAUGCAAGUCGAACGGAAGUUUUAAAUGGAAGUUUUCGGAUGGAAAUUUAAAACUUUAGUGGCGGACGGGUGAGUAACGCGUGGGUAACCUGCCGUAUACAGGGGGAUAACACUUAGAAAUAGGUGCUAAUACCGCAUAAGCGCACAGUAUCGCAUGAUACAGUGUGAAAAGCCUUGACGGUAUACGAUGGACCCGCGUCCGAUUAGCUAGUUGGUGAGGUAGAGGCUCACCAAGGCGACGAUCAGUAGCCGGCCUGAGAGGGUGACCGGCCACAUUGGGACUGAGACACGGCCCAAACUCCUACGGGAGGCAGCAGUGGGGAAUAUUGCACAAUGGGGGAAACCCUGAUGCAGCGACGCCGCGUGAAUGAAGAAGUAUUUCGGUAUGUAAAGUUCUAUCAGCAGGGAAGAUAAUGACGGUACCUGACUAAGAAGCACCGGCUAAAUACGUGCCAGCCGCCGCAGUAAGAC